rnacentral:rRNA from 1 species
GUGGGGAAUAUUGGACAAUGGGGGGAACCCUGAUCCAGCCAUGCCGCGUGUGUGAAGAAGGCCUUUUGGUUGUAAAGCACUUUAAGCGAGGAGGAGGCUACCGAGAUUAAUACUCUUGGAUAGUGGACGUUACUCGCAGAAUAAGCACCGGCUAACUCUGUGCCAGCAGCCGCGGUAAUACAGAGGGUGCAAGCGUUAAUCGGAUUUACUGGGCGUAAAGCGCGCGUAGGUGGCCAAUUAAGUCAAAUGUGAAAUCCCCGAGCUUAACUUGGGAAUUGCAUUCGAUACUGGUUGGCUAGAGUAUGGGGGAGGAUGGUAGAAUUCCAGGUGUAGCGGUGAAAUGCGUAGAGAUCUGGAGGAAUACCGAUGGCGAAGGCAGCCAUCUGGCCUAAUACUGACACUGAGGUGCGAAAGCAUGGGGAGCAAACAGGAUUAGAUACCCCUGUAGUCC